rnacentral:rRNA from 1 species
UACGUAGGGUGCAAGCGUUGUCCGGAAUUAUUGGGCGUAAAGAGCUCGUAGGCGGCUUGUCACGUCGGCUGUGAAAACCCGGGGCUCAACCCCGGGCCUGCAGUCGAUACGGGCAAGCUAGAGUUCGGUAGGGGAGACUGGAAUUCCUGGUGUAGCGGUGAAAUGCGCAGAUAUCAGGAGGAACACCAGUGGCUAAGGCGGCGAUCUGGGUCGAUACUGACGCUGAGGUGCGAAAGCGUGGGGAUCAAACAGG